GACGAACGCUGGCGGCGCGCUUAACACAUGCAAGUCGAGCGAAGCGGCGGACGGGUGAGUAACACGUGAGUAACCUGCCUUAGACAUUGGGAUAGCCUCGGGAAACCGGGAUUAAUACCAAAUGGUCUAAGAUGGACUCGCGUCCCAUUAGCUAGGUGGUGAGGUAACGGCCCACCAAGGCGACGAUGAGUCGCCGGCCUGAGAGGGUGACCGGGCACGUUGGAACUGAGAAUCGGGCCAAACUCGUCGGGAUGGAGCAGUGGGGAAUAUUUCACAAUGGAGGGAACUCUGCUGCGGCGACGCUGCGUGAACGAAGAAGGCUUUCGAGUCGUAAAGUUCUUUUGUAUGGGAAGCGGUACCAUAAGAAAAAGCCCCGGCUAACUACGUGCCAGCAGCCGCGGUAAUAC
rnacentral:rRNA from 1 species